CAGUACGGCGAGUGAGCGGCAAAAGCUCAAUUUGAAAUCUAGCACCUUCGGUGUCUCGAGUUGUAAUUUGAAGAUGGUAACCUUGGGUUUGGCUCUUGUCUAUGUUCCUUGGAACAGGACGUCAUAAAGGGGGAGAAUCCCGUCUGAGCGAGCCUGAUCCGAUGCUGA
rnacentral:rRNA from 1 species